AGUUUCUUCACCCUUUGAGAAAAAUUGUAGAUUCAGCUUGUCAACUUCUGCCAGGUUUUGGUGAUUAUCAAUAAAACUGCUAUCGGCAUUCACGUCAAAGCUUUUGUGUGAACAUAAAUUAACACAGCACUGAGAAUGGGAUUGCUGAGCCAUAUGCUAAGAAAAGACUGUUUGUAACCUAGGAACUGCCCGUAACUUUCACAACUGAUACUGAGUGUGUGCUGCUUCAUCAUUUUUGGCAAGGAUUGGUGUUUCAUCAUUUAGACACAUCAGGUACUUAGAUUGCCA